GUGAAAAGAAGGGGGAUGCUAUUCUUCACUUUCCCCAAUUUAUCCACUUAGCUGACAGCAAUUCAGGUGUUGUCCCUGAAUAAUUUGUGAAAAUGUGCCCUUCUAGGCUUUCCGUGGGCUGUGACCAGAUUCUAUUUGAUCUCCACCUCAUUAUUCAAUGGCAGUGCACUCCAGGUUCAGCAGUCAGCAGUGAUGCGUUGAGCAGGGGUGAGUGGCUGGCCCAUUACCACUCAUAAGCCUUUUACCAAAGACAGCUCCCACUGAGCGAAGCGAACAAGACUCCAACUGGCUACAAAGUGGGUUUCGGAUAAAAACUCAUUACUCUCCAAAAUCUAGCUCAAAGACCAGAGAGUUAUCCUGAGGAGGCUACAGUCAAGUUCACCUAAUUACCAAUUACACUCUAUCUUCCUUCCUCUUCUCUCUAAUUUAAUCCCUUAAAUUCCUCUUUUGAAAUGUUAACAGCUGGAAUAGUUUUGAUCAGAAACACAACCCAUCAUAG
rnacentral:lncRNA from 1 species